CUCGCGUCUCUACCCAUGCCACCACGGAAAAUCGGCGAUGUUGAUUACCAGAUGGGGAAACGGAUGGCUGAUAAGGGGAUCUGCCGUUGGAGAAGGAUUCGGCGAGUUGCGACGGCUGCGGAUCCCAGGCGAGCUCACAGCGGCGGGAGCCGUUGCCGGCGAUGGCGAGCUGGAGUACCGGCGGCAAUGGCCUGUUCACACCAGUAGCAACAGCGAGGUGGCUUCUGGUCCAUGUUUUGGGGCUUGGUUGAUGAGAACGCCAUCGUACCGGUGGAAUGGUCAUGCCAUGGUCAUCAAGAAGCUAAGGCUGGAUGGAACUGCCUAGAUUGAUGAGUCUGUUGAUAGGAAGACCUCCAUAGUCCAGUUAUAUGCUUUCAGGGAUGGAAAGCCUAAAGGAGUGAUAAGGUACCAACAAAGCAACAUCUUGAUCCCAGUGUUCGAGCAGCAACUGAAUUCCAAUCUUAAGGAUCUUUCAGCAAACCAAUGGCUUCAUAUAUGCCGGAGUCAGCAAAUUACAUGGCACAAUAUACGUGUGUGCCAGCAUCUUAAAUUUAUGAUGCCAUGUAUAUCACCAUUUGAAGUUCACUUUUGAUCAUCAUGUAGAUCUUUAUCCAAAUCUUUUGCAAAAAAAAAGAUAUUCUCUGUCUGGACACAACCUGACAGUGACAAGGAGGAGCACGCGGGAAACAAUGUUGUCGGCGUGCACAGACUGUUCUCCUUGGCAUCGAGGCUGCAACACCCUUAGGUAUACCAAAUGCUUUUGUGCUUUCCUGAUACCUUCAUAUAUGGUUGAUGUUUCACUAAGAUGGGAGCACCACAGGUUAGACCAAGAAAUUGAGAUUUGUUUCAGCUUUAGACCAUGUUUUUGGGAGAUGAAUGUUCCCUAAUUUUUGUAGCAGUUAUUUCUGAGAUACUACUUCCAUGCCCUCCAUGCCCGAGUGGUUUCUACACCUUCCAUUCUGAUAUGUUGUUGUGAAAAAAGGCCUUGCCAGUGCUAAUUUGUAGAUUUGCUUCGCGACGCCGAAGGUACCCUCAGGCCUCAAGCUGAGUUUACCCUUGCAACAUGUCAUUUUGUUCAAUGCCUAUUCUUGCUUGCUGGUGGUGAUAUGACGAGUGUCUUCUUUUUCGUUGGCGGUCAAUUUUAUCAAAUACUCUUAUACAAUUUUAUUUUUUAGUACUUUUGGGCACUCGGAAGUCUGGUGAAAAAACGCCUUGCGAGUGCUGAUUUGUAGAUUUGCUUCGCUACGCCGAAGGUGCAGUACCCUCAGGCCUCAAGCUGAGUUUACCCUUCUAGCAAAUACGGCAACAUGUCAUUUUGUUCGAUGUCUAUUCUUGCUUGCUGGUGGUGAUAUGACGAGUGUCUUCUUUUUCGUUGGCGGUCAAUUUUAUCAAAUACUCUUAUACAAUUUUUAUUUUUAGUAGUUUUGGGCACUCGAAAGUCUGGUUAGGCAACCACGUGCUAUUCCUUUUGGCCCUCCCAAGGAGGUAACAUAUACAUGUUGCUCAUACUGGAUUUUCUUUUAUAACUUGGUCUAUGUAACCUAUCUUAGAGUAUGUAAAGCCUGGGCCAUGAGUCCUUCCGUUUAAAAGGGAUAUAAAUAGUUCUCAAAAAAGGGAUAUAAACCAUCCAGCCAAACGUCAUUCCACAAGGAACAAUCACCUAGAUUUUCUGUGCAUGUUGUAACUCCUUUGUAAAUAUUAAACAUGGCUAAUUAAUUGACGCGGUUAGCUGAGUUCCUGUUAGGAUGUUGUAGUAUCCAAAUAUGUUCAAGUUCGUUCAAAAAAAAUUCUGGCUGGGUGAGUGCAAGUUUGUUUGGCUUCGGAGUCACAGAGUAAUGCAGAAUGUGUCCUUCCGUAAUUUUCAUACGUUAAGAGACAUCUGCGUUGUUUCCUUACUGGUGGAGCCUCAGCCUCAUUUCGUCCAAACCAAGUUAUAAAAUACUCCAGCAUUCAAGUUAUAAAAUACUCCAGCAAUAAUGCCCCUUACAAAAGAUGAAAAGAGCUCAGUUCAGCAACCUAUUUUUGUAACUGAUUCAUACUGCUGACUGAACUUAAUAAAGUUUACAAAUGAAUAGAAGGAUAGAUCACAACAGACGAAAUUCUAUAAAGUGUCUAAGUUGCAACUUAUGUAUAAAAGCAAAAUUGCUAUGUUUUCCUGAAUUUUCUUAGUCGGAUUUCCGUUGCAGUGAGCAAGAAAAGAACGUCUGGUAAAUCUCCUCUCCAUUUCGUUUUUUAUUUCCAUUAAUACUUGAGUUGGCAUUUCUGAUAGUUUUGGUUGCUGUUGGCAGCAACGAGGCGGAUCAUAUUGAGUGGUGUAAGAUCGAUGAUUCUAUGAGAAGUCCUCUGGCUGGCUUCUGAAGCAACUGAUGUCAUGUUCACAUGUUAGAACAUGGAUAGGUACCAUGAACGUGCACCAACUCUACAGGCAGAACUGGCCAUCGAUUUUUACUGGCCAUCGAUGGCCCAAAGAAUUUCUUCUGAAUUGGUUAAAAUUCAGGUUGAGCUGGUUGAGCCUCCAAAAUAUGCAGUCGCGGGGGAGAAGCUGACCUUUGCUGGGUACUCUGGGAUUAGAGUCGGAAGAUGAUGAGGAAGCAAUCCUAGACAAAAAACCAUGUUGCACUAGGCAGGUGAUUGCCGUGUUACAAACAUAAUCUAAGUUUGCUUGCCACUAUGAACACCGGAACUCACUCUGUUAGGCUCUUUGACCGUGCAAUGGUGCUUCUUUGGAAACUCCAUAUUAGCAAUGUCACUGGCAUCUUAUCUGAUUGCUGCAAUAUACCUUUCUUUUUAUAGAGUGCCAUGUUGUUUCUAGGAAAAAUCUGAAUAUACUCAUUACAGUAUAUAAAGAAAAUGCCUGUUGCAUGGUCUAAGGGAAGUGACCCUGGUGAAUUUUUUAUUUCGUGUACAUCACAUGCUUGCUGAAAUUAUACUUUUUCCUCGGGUCAGUGAGAGUCUAUACAUUUAAAACAGACCAGUUCACAAUUCUUUUCCAUCAUUUUACAAACCAAUCAUACGAACUAUAAAUUUGUGCGAAUUCUACAGGGUCGUGCGCCAAGGCGCACAUCUAAAUCUAGUUAAAAGAAAAGAGCCACAUCAUGUCUCAGAAAAAGCAAGGUCUGGAGUAGUUAUGUCUUCCUAUUACUUCUUCGUGCAUAUACCAAAAGGAGGUACAGAUUGACUACCGAGCCGGAAAUCGCAAGCAACAAUGAACGAUCUAAUUUUUUCCAACACAAGGAUCAUGAAUCAGUGCUAUACUUUCAGUUAAUUACUACUCGUAAUAUUUAUUUGGCUAGAUACUUUUUCGGCUCGUAGUAUUAUUUGCGUACAGUUUUUUGCGACGUAAUAUAACUGCAGAUCAGAACAAGCUUCGACUGUUUCGCCGCGCACAGUCGCCACACUUGGGGGCUCGUUUGUCACAUCGUGGACUCGAUAUAUUCAGGAGCUCACCCAUCGCGGACACAUCACUUCAUCGACUGCUACUACAUGGAUCGGACCAUCCGAUAAAAAAAUAUCAGAUCACAAUAAAAUUUUGACUUCCACUGCUGCGUCGAUCUCAUUCGUCAUGGCGCUCACUACGCUUGGGGGCUCAUCCAUCGAGGAUCCGCCACAUCUACUACGUUUACCGCUUUGACUGCGUCUGCCGGACAAACUUCUUCUACAUCGACUCCACCGCACCCGAUAACAAAGCUAAGUGUUCCUCUUCCGAGAGUUAAUUAUUAUUUACUUUCGCCACACCAGAAUACUCGGGGGCUGCUGAUGGGAUUCGUAGCAUAGAAAAUAAAAAAUUUCCUACCGCGAGAACGAAAAAACAAGCCAAUAUGCAAUCUAGAAGAUGGUAGCAACGAGGGGAUCACGAGACUAACCCUUGAAGAUUUCCAAAGCCUACGAGAUUAGAUCUCGUUGUUGCAGAAGAUGAUCACUUGCCGCUUUCAAAACGCGUAGAAGAUCUUGACGGUGCCACAAUCAGGCAGCACCUCCGUACUCGGUCACACGUUCGGUGUUGAUGAAGACGACGUCCUUCUCCCCGUUCCAGCGGGCAGCGGAAGUAGUAGAUCCUCCUCGGAAUCCCGGCAGCACGACGGCGUGGUGGCGGUGAUGGUGGAGAACUCCGGCAGGGCUUCGCCUAUGCGCUGCGGGAGUAGUAUGUGGGGGGGCGCUAGGGUUUGGGGAGAGGGAGGCUUGGGCGCCGGCCACUAGGGGGCGGCCAAGGUUGGAGGGUAGAGUGUCCGGCCCCCUCCCCUUUCUCCUCAUUAUAUAGGUGGAACCCCCAAGAGUUGUAGUCAAGUCUUCGAAUAAGACCCCAACACACAAACUUGGCAUAAGGUGGGAAACCUACCCAAGGUGGGACUCCUACUCAAGGUGGGAGUCCCACCCCUUCCUUGAGGGGGGUGGCCGGCCACCAUGGGUGGAGUCCACUGAUACGUCUCCGACGUAUCGAUAAUUUCUUAUGUUCCAUGCAACAUUAUUGAUGUUAUCUACAUGUUUUAUACACACUUUAUGUCAUAUUCGUGCAUUUUCUGGAACUAACCUAUUAACAAGAUGCCGAAGUGCCAGUUGCUGUUUUCUGCUGUUUUUGGUUUCAGAAAUCCUAGUAACGAAAUAUUCUCGGAAUUGGACGAAAUCAAAGCCCA